rnacentral:rRNA from 1 species
GACGAACGCUGGCGGCGUGCUUAACACAUGCAAGUCGAACGGAAAGGCCCUGCUUUUGUGGGGUGCUCGAGUGGCGAACGGGUGAGUAACACGUGAGUAACCUGAUCUUGACUUUGGGAUAACUUCAGGAAACUGGGGCUAAUACCGGAUAGGAGCUCCUGCUGCAUGGUGGGGGUUGGAAAGUUUCGGCGGUUGGGGAUGGACUCGCGGCUUAUCAGCUUGUUGGUGGGGUAGUGGCUUACCAAGGCUUUGACGGGUAGCCGGCCUGAGAGGGUGACCGGCCACAUUGGGACUGAGAGACGGCCCAGACUCCUACGUGGGGCAAGAGUGGGGAAUAUUGCACAAUGGGCGGACGCCUGAUGCAGCAACGCCGCGGGCGGGAUGACGGCCUUCGGGUUGUAAACCGCUUUCGCCUGUGACGAAGCGUGAGUGACGGUAAUGAGUAAAGAAGCACCGGCUAACUACGUG